GACGAACGCUGGCGGCGUGCUUAACACAUGCAAGUCGAACGGAAAGGCCCUGCUUUUGUGGGGUGCUCGAGUGGCGAACGUGUGUGUAACACGUGAGUAACCUGCCCUUGACUUUGGGAUAACUUCAGGAAACUGGGGCUAAUACCGGAUAGGAUCUCCUGCUGCAUGGUGGGGGGUGGAAAGUUUCGGCGGUUGGGGAUGGACUCGCGGCUUAUCAGCUUGUUGGUGGGGUAGUGGCUUACCAAGGCUUUGACGGGUAGCCGGCCUGAGAGGGUGACCGGCAAAAUUGGGACUGAGAUACGGCCAAGACUCCUAGGGGAGGAAGCAGUGGGGAAUAUUGCACAAUGGGCGGAAGCCUGAUGCAGCAACGCCGCGUGCGGGAUGACGGCCUUCGGGUUGUAAACCGCUUUCGCAUGUGACGAAGCGUGAGUGACGGUAAUGGGUAAAGAAGCACCGGCUAACUACGUG
rnacentral:rRNA from 1 species